CCCCCCCUCAGACACAAUAAAUAAAUAAAAAUCACCUUAAGAUGUCUUCUUACUGUAAUUUCAUUUGUUUUUCAUAAACUUCAUCUCUUAGACUGAGAUCACACUGAGACAACUCGGCAUUUGAAAAAGAGCCUAGAAGAAGAGGGGGGGGGACGUGGGGGAGGGACAUGAGGGAGGAAACCUGCUCUCAUUGGUCCCAUCUGCCCAGGGUCACCUGUCACUCACAAAGUUUAGUUCUCUCUAGACUUGAAGGGCGAACCCUUUGGUCGUGGUCUGGGAAUUGUAGUCAUUAGCAAAACGAAAGAAAAAUGAGCAGAAGGCCGCCACCAGGGUUAGAAACCGAGUGAGUGAUGUACAAAAAAACACAAUAACCAUAAUACUAAAUCUCUUUGCGAAAGGUGAUAUGACAUGACACUGAAAAAUAAAUAGAUUUUUCUUUCAAGCUAAAUUAAAGUACAACUGGAUUAUAAAUUAACCAGAAAACAAAACUCACAUUCGCAAAUUCAUUUUUUUUUUUGCAUACAGUGACUCAAGUCGACGACCUCGAUCAUUUCCUGUAACAAUGACACACGUAACACACACCGCCGUGUGUCAGAGAGACAGCGUGUGUGUGUGUGUGUGUGUGUGUGUGUGUGUACACGCUUCAAAUAUUUACGUUGUUAAUGUUUAUGCUAGACAGCGUGAUUAAUUCCAGGCACACCAAGGCUUACAGAUGUUGUUUGGCAUAAAUGUUUUAUGAAUAUAUUAUGACUACUAUACACAAGAUCAUCCGAGAUAUGAAACCUCUUCACUGAGCUUUACGAGUGUUUACUCAUUUUCCCUUCAAAAGAACCAUUUCCGUCCCCAGUGAACAGAAGAGGCCACAGGGACAGAAGGUAAUGAUUCUAUUCUUUCUCUUAGUACGGCGAUGGUGCUGAAUGGAGCCACAUGCAGAUCAAAGAAGAAAACAGGAAAGAACCACCAACAAAACAAAUAUUUACUAAUCAGUUAAUAUGCAACAGUCACUUUUUUUUAAAUGAACAGUAUUGAUCAUCACAAACCCAAACUAGAAUCCAAAGAGUCAAUAUGCAACCUUUCUUUCUGAGCGUUACCUGCCAGCAGCCUUGUCCAGCAGGUCGGUCCAUCUCUCUGCCAGACUGUGCAGCUGGGUCCCGAUCUUCUCUCGGUCUGCAGUGUCGGCCGUGGCUGCGAUCCGCUCUCCCUCGGCGCGGAUCAUCUCAACCGUCGGCCGGCGGUCAUCCAGCAGCCUCUGGAGCAGCUGGAGAGAGAGAGAGAGAGAGAGAGCGGCUGUUACAGUAGAGCGAUGGAGUCUGUCUGUCUGUCCGUCCGUCCGUCUCAUAUCCGGAGAGGCGUCCGUCCGAUCUUCUUCACACUCGCCGGGUGUUUUGCUGGCGACCCUGAUGACGUGCACUGAUGGAAUACUGCAGAAAUAUUAAGUAUAUCUAAAUAAGAAAGCAAAAACAUAGCUGUGUGGAGUAGUGGGCGGGACAUCUGGGCUCUGCAGACUUAAGCGAGCACUAUUAUAGAAUUAAACCUUUAGAAGCAUUGCUAACGGUCUUUACUUUGGAUGGACAGAUGUGAUCAACUAGUAACUGUCGCCAAAUGGCAGAUAUUGGCUGAUAUCUCUUUGAGCUGCUGGACAUUUCAUUAGGGUAUAUGCUGCUUCUUAAAGAGGUGCGGACAGAACACAUCGCUUCAGUUAACUAGUGAUCCAACUGUUCUUGGAUCCGAAAACAACAUUUGUCAACUAGUUUCCUUCCUCGUCUCCUUUGAACCAGCAGCUCUGUGGAAUGCACCCCUCGCCACAGUUCUCGGCCCAGCAGGGACACCGAUCUCCGUCACGGAUGUUAACGCACCUGAUUGAUCGCUGGUCGAGGUUGCAGCACACUCGCGUGCACAAACACAGGAAGUGUAUGUUGAGUAAACAGAGGAAAAAGUGUGUGUGUGUGAGAAAUAAAGGGAAAGUCUGGAUUCUAUUUCAGUUAGCUUGCCUACAGUAAACAGCGGUUCUACUUCUACUGAUAUUUUUAAAAGUGUAAAAAACAUCCACAGCGGUUUGCUGCUCGGCCCCGGUGCUGCUACUCCUUUCUGUUUUCCCCUAACUGGCUUUCUACUGUAGAUAAUAUAUUGACGAUGGAAUUGAACUUCAAAUAAUGCUAACUGUGACUUUAAAACGCAAAGGCACUUCAUGUAAAACUCUUCUUAUCAAACUGUAUAUUUAAGAACCUAAAAUCAUUUGUAAAAUCAAAGGUCACUCAUUCAUCUUCUCGUACUUUUUGUUCUUGGAUCUGGGCCUUGACCACGCGGUACUCUGCUGACGGGGGCUUCUGAUUGGCCACCAGCUCCUCCGUGUCGCUCAGCCAGCUCAGCAGCGGCUCCAGAGCAUCCUGGAACUUCCCACAGUGCAACAGGGCCUCCUGCAGCUGGGCGAUGCGCUCGGCCACCUAAAGACAGGAGAGGCGGCUUUGUGAGUGGAGAACAGGAAGUCCACGCGACGCUACGCCCCAGUCUGUGCGCGGACGUACCCGCUUGUUGAGCGAGUUCCAUCGGAGGUUGGUGGUUUCCAGGUCAUGCUCCAGGGCCUGGGUGUCCGUGUGCUUGGCGGCGCUCUGGAUCAGGCCCUGACCCACUGCGUUGAUGUGCUGCAGCUUCGGCUGGAUGCCGUCCACCUGCUCUCUCUCCACCGCCUGCAAGAGAAAGGGCCGCCAUUCAUGGAGUUAUUCAAAAGACACAAACCCCCCCCCCCAAGAAACGCAGUAGUGAGCUUUACCACAUUAUGCUCCUAUAUAGUAGAGUGACUGAAUAAGACAGAGUGCAGAGAAAGAGCAGAGAGGGGGGGGACAGGAAGGGAAGAGGAGGGAUGAGGGUGGAGGGAGGAAGAACAAAGUGGCGGAGGGGAGGGGGAGAGGAGGAUCAUGGGGAUUAGAGAGUGGGGGGCUGACUGGGAAAGGCUGAGUCGACAACACACACACACACACACACACACACACACACACACACACACACACACACACAUACACACGCGGCCGAGUACGCGAACACACUUGCAUGGCUGCACACAAAGGCCAACACUCGCAUUUAUGGCAGCUACACGGCGAGCGCGCCUGUCUGGACGCAUUACUCGCACACGGCGGCGGGCUGGAGCCAUCUUGUGAUGACAAUAGACGCAGCCACCCGACACUAAAGACGACCAGACUUGACUUCCCGGGCCCCGAAAAAGACGAAGCAGCAGCAGAUACGCUUUCACAGCAAAUCUGGGCCACUAUCGCAUCUAAAUACACAUAGUAGUGAGUGGGAAUACUCGCCUGUAUAUUCCAAUGGCCUUUUUGGCUGUGUGUGUGUGUGUGUGUGUGUGUGUGGGGGGGGGGGGGGGAAUUUCUGUUUUUGUGUGGACAAAAACAGCAAUUUUCACCAAACUGGCGACUUGAGAUAUCGUUAGCCGUACACUUAGAAAAAGUUUCAGCAGAUUCCUGAGCUAUAAAGUGUUCUGAUUUGUCGAUGUUUUCUGAAAAUAGGAAAACAGUCCGGUGAAAAUCUACCAUCAAACAGCUGAGGCAAAGAUGAGAGAAAGAACAUUCGACUCUGCUAAACUCCUGUAAACCGCCAUCCAACAAAAGAACUCACGUAAUUCCAUCAGCUCCUCACCAUGAGGAACACUGUAAACCAACUUGGGCGUAAUACUGGGGGGGGGGGGGGGGCGUCCCUGUCAUGAAAACGUUUAAAAAGUCCUGACAUUCACAAAAGGUCCACAGAGGGAGAAUUAGGCCUGAUGGCCACACAAAAACAAACACACACACACACACAGUGAGAUUUGCACAACCACACACACACACACCAAAUUUAGGUAAAUCCCACACGUGGGGAAAAUAGCUGGUGUGACAAUACUGCAGUUAAAAAGAGGUAAAAUGUAGGUUUGAGUUUCAGUGAAAUGCCGCUAUGGCCUGGAAGAAGCGUCCACAGUACUGCUGAAACAAAUAACAAUAGAAGAAGCUAAAUAAACAGCAUUAAAGUAUUGAAAAAGGGUGGACACAGUCCAUCUUUGAGGUUUUAAGUACGGAAUGUGAACGUUUUUGCAUUUAAUCAAGUUUUAAUCAUUUACCCAGAAUUCACUACACAUCCUGCUGCGUGAAGCUUUUAAAUUCUUGCAUUUGAGAUUGUGCAGGUGAGGGUGUUUGUUUGGUCAUAGUCAAAGAGUUUAAGGCUUUUCUGGUUCAAACAUCCUUUCCAAGGCUUUGUGUGAGUGUGUGCACUAGUUCCUAAUCCGUGCAUGUGUGUCUAAAACAGACAGGUAGAAAUCUGAUAAAGUUCUGUCCAGUUUGGACGCAGCUGUGUCGUGUGAUGGGCGUCGUAAACACUUGGAACAGGAAGUCUGUCGGCCAAAACAAUGACUGUAGCCAUGACCCGCUCCACCCUGCUACGCCUUCUCCUGGUGUGUGUGUGUCAGUCAGAGAUGGAAGAACAAAACAAGAGAAACACAUCCAUUCCUCAUCUAAUCAUACACAUGGAUGUAUAUGAACUUGUUUUGGGCAGCAUGUGCGUGUCCUCUUCUUCUGCCACCCUUCGUGUUCGCUCUCCCCCUGCUUAUCUUCUCUCUCUCUUUCCAGCAGUUGACUCCACUAAAACAUCUGUAAAACCUCCCAAAUACUUGUCAUUCUUCCCCACCUCAGCCCGACUGAGCUCGCUCAGCGCCGCACUUGUCAUUCUUCUGUCCAUAAACUCCUCCAAAUCAUAUUGGGCCCAUAUAGUUCUAUUUGAUUUAUGAUUUGCAUUACCAAAGUCAUACACUUACAUGCAUGCAUUUUUCUAGACCUAUAAUGGCCUGAAAGCUGUUGCAAAACGAAAGAGGUUGAACUGGUUAAUUGAUCAUUCGAUGGAGAGACAUUUCAUUUAUUCAUUUAGAUCAUUGAUUGGAAUUCCUGCUUGAAAAAUGACAUGAAAGCUGUGGUUGAAGGUGCCUCUAGGAGUCGAUGCUUUAUGAGUGUGGCCUGACUGCAUGUCCGCUGCACAUGAACAUGCAAGUGGAUGCUCUAUAUUUAGCCGUCAUCUGUCGAGCCAAUAACGCCGAGGAGAGGAAUGGUGGUGUUGAUGACGCACGCCAAAACAUCCCCCAAGGACAAUCCGCUUCUUAACCCGGACAGAUGAGGAAACAAGUCUCUCAGAAAACACCAAAACGAAAGGCAGCACAAGGAAGACCACGCGUGCAUGCAGUGGAUCCUCUAACAGAUUUGGAGCGCGCUGGAUGUUGCACAGAGUUUUCCAAACUUGCUGUCAAAGCUUCAAAGUAGUUCUCUGAACCUCUUUCAUCCGCCUCUCCCUUCACAGCUGAUCUCCAUAAAACGGGAUUUGUUGUAUAUGAGCAAUAAAUGACGGGACAAACAUCAAUGUGAAGCAUGUGUAACGCUGCUUUUCCUUCCCACCCCCUCACCUCCUUCCCUCUCUUCCGGCCUCAGCCGUCGCCGCUCUUCCUGUCUUUCAACUCCUCAUCCUCCCUCACUUGACUCCUUUCUCUUGCUAUGGAACAAGGAAUGAGGGGAGGAAGGUGGCAGGAAUCUGUUUUUCCAAACUGUAGUGGCUAACGGGGAGGCGGGGUAGUUUACUAGAGGACUGACCCUCCCAGUCACAGGAUAGAAAGGGGUUAAUGGCUCAUUCCAACUAACAAACGCAUACAAAUCUUAUGCAAAUGUUUUCCUUAGUCAAAGCAUGUUGGCUGGAGCCUCACGGCCUCCUCUCCUCCGUUUCCCUUCAUCCACUUCGUCCUGUUCUUCACACGUGUUUGUGCUGCCAGUGAGUCGACAAAGAGUGGAACACACAAGCGAAAAAUAUGCAAAAUCAUGAAAAAAGGUUUCAAUUUUUUUUUCCAUUUGAAGUGCAUCUGCAUUGAAUCAGAGUGGGGAUCAAUGCGUUUCCAUAUUUGCUUUCAUGCUUGUGUCUUCCCGAACACGCCCCCCGGCCCCCCCGGCCCCCUCUCCUUCUCUCCGCGGGUUCAAGCCGGGUGGCGGUUCCUCAGAACCAGAAUUAUCACAUCAAUCAAAACAUAAAUACAUGAGCGGCGAACUGCAGAUGUCCCUCAGCUAAGCCUUAUUUGCAAGGGACUAGUAUGUCCUUUAGAUUAGUUCUAAUAAUUGGCGAGGAUGUCUGAUUUUAAUCCUGAGACAAUCAGCCCAUAAUUACGUCACAAUCCAUAACAAGAUCCAAGAUAUCGGUCCAAGUCAUUUUGAGAUAUUACUAAGAUCCUUGACAUCAUAUCUGGGGGUUAUUUUGCUACAUUGUUCAAAUACCACAUGAAACAAACAAAUGACCUCCGUUAUAGGAACGCAGUGCACGGCAGAAAGAGCCCAUGACUGCGUUUGGACUGCGUACAAGCCGCAGUCUGAGUUGAUCCACGUGCACAUGGAACACAAAAUAUUAAACCAGUGCGCAGUUACAAGAGACAUUUGAAUCAAAUCCUGCGCAUUUGAUUGGAGCGCUGCGGAGGAGUGUGGCUGCAAACAGCGUGCCAGCUCGUCCAUCUGUCCGUCUGUCUGUGGAUGCCUUAAACCGGCUCCAUGUUAAUCCAAAGACCUUCUGCUAGCGUCCGCCUGCCAGCGCAGCUCCCUUAUCGUUGUACUAAAGCCUCACACAACACUAAAAGGUGCUUCCCUCCCACCCGCCCUGUGCAAACAAUGGCUUCCUCCAUCCAACCUGCGUGUCGCCCGUCACUCCUCUUUUUGUGUCUGCUCUCUCUCAUUCAGCGCGUCAGUCCGGCCUCCCUAGUUCCUGGUUUGCAUUAUGUUUUGCAUCAAAUUAUUGAUCGAAUGAGAAAUAUGGAAAGAUAAAGAACAGAGCUGAAGAGGACAAAUAAUUAUUGCAGAAAAGGAAAAUAAAUACGAGGAGGCAGACGGGCAGAGAUGUGAGGAAGAGUGAGACAGGUCAAUGAACAACAAACAGAGUGAGGAGUUCCAGACUAAAGUGCUGGCACAUUGUUAUCAGAUAUCAUAGUUUAUAUUCCCCAAACAGCCUUCACACUGUUUGUGUAGCCAUGUUGGCAAUGGCAGCUCCUCCUCAGUAUUUAGCCCUCACCUCCUUAUCUCGGCAACAACACCACCCAAGCAUGGCGGGGGAGAGGGGGGAGAAAGAGUCAGUCGAGGAGUACAGCAUUCGCUCCAGCAAUAUUUAGUAGAUAACUAUUUGAUGUUAGAGAACGUGUGAAUUAUUAUUAGUACUACGCGGAUAUAACUUCUAAAUCAAAGGUUUUCUUUGUUUGGGUGUUUUUCUUUGUCUGAUCUUGGAAACAGAAGUUAUUUCUGCAGUCAAUGGACCUUUUAAAACUCAAGUAGUAAGCUGUAGUUUUGAUGCAUACAGGCCUCUACACAUUUAUCGCCAAUUUCUUUUUUAAAUGUAUUUAUUUCUCCUACAAAUCAAGAAUGACGUUGCUGAUCAUCUGUGUGCAGCUUUAAGUCUUCUGUGUAAGAUCAGAUUGGACAGAUCUGAUUUCAUCAUUAUAAAUAUCUCAUUAUACUGAAGCCAGAGAUGCUGUGACUGCACACAGACCACAGAUAAUGCAAAACUCAAUUACACAUUCAAACAAACAAACGCAUAUAUUCUCACAAACAAAGUGAGCGGGCAGAGUAAUUGGCCUGUGACUGUGCGGUCAGAGCAGUCUGCAUGUGCCGGAGAGCUGCUGUAACGUAAUAAAGAAGGAACACAGGCCGGCAGUGGCCGACACCGCGUGUUCCUGAUGUGCACAGAAAAUAUUAGACGUCUUUGCCGGACAGAGAACCCCUACCAACAGGUUUGGAAUGGGGGCAAAUUUGGGAGGGAAAUGCACAUGGAAAUCAGAAAUAAUAUCCAUUACCCCAGACUCUCAACUAGCAUGUUGAUUGCAAUUUGAUUCAAUUGCAGUUUCUUAUUCGUCUGGGUUUGUAUACUUAUAGUGGAAAUGCACUUCUAAAUGACAUGUAAUGAUGAAACGCAAAAACUAGGCGGCAGUUUGAGAUACGAGAUACAAUCCACACACUCUCACACACACACACAUGUUGCCCGUGCAGCACACAGGUGGGCGGUCACGCCUUCCCCCCCGUGUCAGUUCCCGACAAGCUAAUCUUAUCUAGCAUUGCUACGUAGGAAUAUCCAUCUCAGAUGGGGGUGUGCGUGCGCCGGCAGUGGCACUACACAAACCCACACAGCCAGAGCGUGAGAACAGCCUCCUUUCUCAGAGUUUUAAUGACCCUUUACUGUUACGCGCACGGCUGGGAAACACUGGGCACCCGUGCCUCCGUAUGGACACACAAUACCCAUCAACUCUUGUAAAACAGAACAAUAGCGAGCCCUUAAGAUAAAUGCUGUGAACUCUGAACAUGAGAUCAGCAUCACGAGUGGCCCGCGGGGAAAGGCCGCGCUUUAGGCUUCUAACAAACAAACGUGUGAUCAAUCUCAAACACGUGCAUGCACUGUAGAUUAGCACGGAGUCACACACACACACACACACACACACACACACACACACACACACACACACACACACACACACACACACACACACACACACACACACGAAUGAAUGACCCUGAGGGUAGUUUCCCCAUAAGUAGCAAACCCCCCUCAGGGCAUCAUAUUGCAAUCGUUUAAAGCCUCACUACAGAAACACAACUAGCUACUUAUGGCGUCUACAUAACUUCACCCUCCCAUAUAUAUUUUCCAUGCCUACAUCUGUUACACUCCACGCUCAGAUACCCAACCCCAUUCUUUCGACAUACUCUGGCCCUGUGUCCACGUCUAAUACAUUCUUCGCUGAAAACUUUACUUUUACUCCCACUCUCUGGGCGAAAAUAAAUCAUCUCGUGGCUCAAUUGAAUGCCUUCCCUCUACAUGGCGCUAGUACUAUACUAGUACUAGUGUCAACAGCAUUAACAAUACAUGUUAGGAAGUCUCAGUACAUAGAUGUACAGUACCAAAAUGAGGUGCGGGAUGCAGUCUUAUGGAAAUAAGACAAACUGGUAAGUGGGCGCAUACCUCUGCCUCUGUGUCAGUGUCCGAACUUGGUAAUAUAGUUGAUUCAUUCUCAGCUGUAGAACUCCUUCCUGACUCUAAGAUGGGGUCUGUGUGGGACGCUGUGGCGCCCGUCUGAGGCCCGUCCUGCUGGGGUCUACAGGCCUCCGCCUGGCUGGUCUCUGUCUGUGUAAAUAGGCCCUGUAGCAGUCCGGGCUCCAAUUGGUCCCACGCUUGGUCAGUGGACACGAGAGGAGGAAAGUCCAGAGCAGAACCGUCUGACUCCCAGUCACUGUCCCCUGUCAUGGAGCCAAGGACAAACUCCACCCCGUCCAUCCCAGAGUGGGUCCCUUCGGAACACGAAUCCAAGUCCAGCUCCUGAGUGUCCUCUAAGGCCGAGCAGCCAUCGGAGGGGCCAGGCUGGGGCCGCUCGGGUGCCGCCAUGUAAACAAAGCUGUCGGGGGAGAGGAGGGAUCCCUCCUCCUCCGGGUCCGGGUAGCAGGGGGGUUUAGGGAGAGAACUCUGGGAAAUCAAGUCUUCAAGUGGAGAUGGGGGACAGUUAUUGGGGUACUGAGGAGGCGCAGACACAGCCCAGGUAAACAAAACUAUCUGAUAUCACAAACGCCUCAAAGUCUUUAGCAUCCAAACCAGCACCAUGACAAUCAGGUUUAGAAGGUGGCCGAAGUAAAGAGGGAGCGGAGUCUGAUUUUGGGGUGCUAGCUGUGACUUCUAUUGACAUUUUCAGAUCAGGGUCUUGUCGCACAGGCAUAUCAGGUCCUAAGACCACACCUGUGGGGGCAAGAGCCAUCUCUGAUGCAAAGCAGGUCCCUUGUAGGUCACAUGUCUGUGCCACGGCAGGGUUGCAAGCUUCUGAGCGGACUGGCUCUUCCUCACAGGAGGUUUGAGCAUCAUCAGCUUGUGUACAUUCGUUACCGGCCGUGUCUUCACCCGCGAGCGGCGGCUCAGGGGAGUGAUCGUGAAUCACUCGCUCGCUACUGUCCAAACUUGGCUCAGAUUGGUCAUAUACAUCCCACUCUGUUCCCAACUCCUCUUCCUCCUCAUUCAAUAUUCCCUUGUUCUGCUCGGCCCCCUCCUCCACUCCCCCCCAGUAUGGGUUCACAAGGCUAUAAGACGGAGAGGAAGUUCUCUCCACACACUCCUCGCCAUCACGCUCUGAUGAUGCCCCACUAUCCGGGUCGGCCUCAGUCCUUGCAGGUCUCGCCUGUUCACAGUCUGUCCGAGCAAUGUCACUGAUGCCAGUCCUGUCUGGCUGGGACAUGUGGACGCCACUGGAGUCGGUUUGGUAACUCAUCUCUUCCUCCCCUACCUCUGCUUUUUCCGGAAUAUAAUUAACAACGCAGUCUUCAUCGAUGAAACCAUGUUCUUUUUCACAGUCUUGUGCUCGCACCAAUGCAAAGCUUCUUAUUGGUUCUGUUGGCUCAGAGGGAUUUAAACUAGAGUCUUUUGCACUAGUCUCCGAGUCUGGAGCAAUGCUAUCAGGCUCUAUAGAGUUAACUGCAUCAAGAGGAAGAGUUCUUUCAGAAUGCUCCCAGGAAGUCUUUGCUUCUUCCUCUCUCCCCUCUUCCUCCAAAAAGGGAAGUGUGUAGGGAUCAAGAGGCUCAGGGUCUACACUCAUCUCCACUCCCUCCUCUCCUUCAUCCACACAACACUGCCUUUCUAGCUCCAAGAAGAGGUCAUCUGACUCAGCCCCUGAGCUGGGGCAAGGCGAGACACUGGGGGCUCCAGGGCCUCCAAAUCCUGUGGGGGGAGUCAAUAAGGGCCAAUGUCCAGAAGAGCCCGUUAAAUCCCAUCCCUCUGAUUCCAGCGUUUCUCUAGUCCAUGACUGGUCCAUUAUCUCCCUAUUCUCUAAUUUAAGAACUGCCUCCCACUCUCUUUCCUCUCGCUGAGCUCUCUCCUCCUCUGCUUUAUCCCUUUCCCUUUGCCAUGCCUCCUCCUCUUCACAUAUUGAGCUGCAUUCGUCCUGCUCCUCCUCUUCAAGCUCCUCCAGAAUCCUGCGCUCGUCCUCCUCAAAUUUGAGCUCGGAGGCUGUGCGUUCAAGCUCCCCGCCCUUGUUACACCAGCCGAGCAGCCCCUCAUCACACCCCUCCUGACUGAUGCAUGGGGAGAGGGGCAGACCUCCAUAUAGCAACCCUUCCUCCUCCCUCAGGAAUGGAGAUGGGGGGUCGAGUAGAUAAAGUGCCUCUUCAUCUGUGUUGCUAUCAUCUCGCAAUAGGGGAGGCAAAGGGGGGAGCACGGGGAGGUUGCGUCUCAGGCUGGCCUGGGUCCUUUUCCCCGUUGUUAAACUGCGGGGCCAGGUGCGGGCCUUGGUUGGAGGGCAGAAGACUGGUUUUGGUGGGAUGAGGGGGGCAUUGUCCUCCUGGUCCGGAUCCAAAAGAGGAGAAUCCCCCUCUGAAUCUGAGGCCUUAACUGAUUCAACGGGCUCCUCUGGGAUUUUCCCAAAUCCAGAUUUAGAAGAGCUGCUUGUGCGCCUGUGAUCCUCCCUCCUUUUCUCCACCUGCCUGGAGAUGUUGGCGCUGUGCACUGGUGUAUUUCUAGACACCUGGGGUGCCAGAGUCCGGCUAAAGGUGGGUAACGGUUCUUUGGUAGGCGACGACGCCACAUGAGUCUGACUUUGUUGCGUCUGCAGUACAGGAUGGACCAGUUUCUGCCGGCUCGGAGGACACUGGAGAGGGGCCAACAGGCUCACUGUGGGUGUCAAACAAGGCGAAGACGAGACAGGGGGAGUGUGGGGAGCAGAUGAUGAAGGGGAGGGUGUAUAAGGAGGUAAGCAAGGAGUGGAGGAGGUAGGGGUAGAUGGGGCGAGGUGAGGAGGAGUUGGCUGUAAAGUAGAGAGAGGAAUCCCUGCCAAGGACAGACGUUUCUCUGUCCCUUCAGUGGAGGAGAACUCAAGUCUUUCAGCAAACUCUGGAUAACUUGGUGGCAUAAAGGCUUUCCAAGAGCGACGGUUUGGAUUGUCCCUCUUAUCACCCCCUUGAUGACGUCUCUUGGGCACUGCAGCUACCCCGCCGGAGCCGGAUGCGGAUGGGACAUUUGCCAUACCUGAACCCACAAGGCCAACUGGUGGGGACAUUAUCUGAGGAUCACCAGUUAGCUUCAAGGCGUCAAAGAUGACCCUCUCGUCGAGCCUCUUCGCUCCACCGGCAUGCUCUGCGUUUCUGGAGACAAAAACACUACCCAACUCCGCUCCAAUGGUGCCAUUGCUGGACAGAGUGCUUCCCUCUCCUCUCACCUCCCCACCAGAGCCCAGAGUGCUCCUGGAAGGUUGACACAGUUUGGCACUCUGGUCAAUCUGUUCAUUGAUGCGCAUUGUAUCAUAUAUGGAUCGCUGGGGGACGUAACAAUCCUCUAUGUACGCCUCGUCCUCAUCCCCCUUUCCGAGGCAGCGAGGGUUCUGCCUCAGGCAGUCCAGGCGGCUCAGAGGUUUCCCCAUUUUGUCCUUUUCUUUUCUUUUUGUGUUGAAGGUGCGGCACUGCACUUAGAUAUCUUAUUCAAAAAAGGGACCUUUGUUGAAAAUAAAGUCCCUUUGCUUCAACAGUCAAUAAUCCACAAAAUGACCAAUCCUUUAGGCUUCACAUUGCUAGAAAUGUUUAAAAAUGAUAUCAUCCACAGUCUCUGGUGACCUGGUAAGCGCUGCGUUCUCUUAUGUCACCUCAACAGUUGAGCAAUUCCUUGGUCUUUCUGAGAUGUGGUGCGGCAUCAGCGAGGGAGUGAGAGAGACGGCCCUCUCCCUCAGCACCAUAUUAAUCACCAGCUCUGUUUAUUGAAAAGCAGGUUAGGAAUGAGGCAGAGCUGCAGGGGUGAAGGGAAAGAAACAGUCAUCUCCCCCUCUGAGUAGCACAAAGUCCAAGGUGAGGAUCGUGCAGAUAACAGCCCUUUGUUUGGCUGUCAAAAUCACAGGGCACUGCUCUGCCCUCCAUAUUCAUGUGCAGCAGCCCAUUCCUUGACUCCUUUUCUACUCUCGCUAAGGUCCUACCUCCUUUUCGGUCUCCUCUCCUGCCUGUGGCACAACAGAAGGCAGAGAGCGAUUCAACUUCACCAGUCUGAGAGAGAGGCAGGCACGGAAGUGUAAAAGUCUCCUUUUAAGGUGAGAAAAACCCACUCAGUUAUAUAAAAGAAAGGUUGUGUGGGGUGCAAUGGGACAGGAAAGUGUGAUACUCCAUGGAUUUACUUCCCUUUAAUCCUCCCUUGUAAAAAAAUAUAUAUACUCCUUGCAGGAAAAAUGAAAAAAAAAACGCAGGAUUAUGGAAUCUAGUUAAUGAAAACCAAUGCAAAAUAGAGAAGAUGUCUUUCUGCAGCAAGAAAACCCAACUUGAGAUUUACGUAAAUAGAACUCCCUUUACCAAGUCACUGCCACUUUGAGGUCCGGUAAGUGUUCAAGUCCUCUUUUCUUUUUCUCUUUCGGUCCUCUGCUUCCAUCACAAAAAAGAAUCAGGGCUUUGUGAUUGCAGGGAAAACCCUAUUUGUUUACCCAGCGGCCCCAAAGACAUCUCGCCACCAUCGUUACCGGCAUCAUCAGCAAAAAAGAUCAACUGCAUCAUCCGUGAAUCAGUCUAGUCUCGAGUGAAAUGCUGAAUCCAGAACAAAGAGAAGAAGCAUCCCGCUUUUGCGUGCAGAAAAUCCCUGUCAGUGUUUCAAUUGUUUUCUUUUAUCUUGCUUUCUUUCUCCCGCGUCCUCAGAUCAUCCACAGCUCCAGGGGAGAGGUGGUACAGUAGAUCGAAAGCAGGCAGGAUCUGGGGGUAGAUAGACAGGAGGGGGGGGGGGAGGAAGGGGGCUGGAUCCUGGACCAGCCGGCAGAGCAAAGUGUGCAGAGCGCUGAGUCGUGGGACUGUAUCCAGAGGGCAAAGACCCAGACAGCCUUCCCAGCUCCAGUCUGCGCUCCUUCCCGACAGACGAUCCCAGGACACGCCGCCUUGCCUUCCUCCUGCUGCCGACUGCGUAGUGGCGAUCAAACAAAGUGCCACGCAAUCCCAGUUCCUCUUCCCUCUCGUGUGCGCUCCCAAGGCUUUGCUCGCUCUCUCUCUUUCUUUCUUUCACUCCCAGUCUCUGUUCCCAGGCCACUACACAGCUGAAAUGGUUUGCAGCUGCUAAAAAAAAUCUCUUUUCCGCUCACUCUCGCUCUCUCUCUCACUGCUCACUCCCCCUUUGCCUCCUCUCUUUCGCUCACUCACAUGUCCCUUCUGUCUCUCUCUCUCUCUCUCGUCCACUCACUCACCACCCACCCCUGCUCUCUCGCUGUUUGUGUUUGAAUUCAGCUCCGUUUGUUCUGUUUCCUGCACUGGUAUUAAAACACAGGAAGUGCUCCAAUCACGCUGGUUUCCUCUCGCCCGGACAAAAAAAAAAGAAGAGAAAAACACACGAGACGGAGAGAAGCAGGGUGGUGGAGAGAGAGAGAGAGAGAGACGGAGGAGGAGGGGAGUUAAGCGGCGAUAGAGAGGGAGGCAGGGUGCUAAGAGGGGGGCGUGGAGCCGGAGAGAAAGAGUUGUGCAGCAAAGGACUGUGCUCAUUACUAAAGAAAUGCUGCUGAACAUCAGCCGAUUAUCUCACACAGCAGCGAGCGGCAGCCAAUUAAUAUAACAAUUAAAAAGAGGAAUAUCAAAUGAUCUCAUGUGCUGUAUUUAAACCCAGAUGAGGUCUCCCCCGGGCAGUAUAUCACAUACUAGUCAAUGUACCAGCGUGGAGGGGGGGGGCUGGUGAUGUGAGAUGGCUACAUUCACCACAGCUUUGUUAUUCACUCUUAAUUCUCCAGGGCAGGACCGCCCCCCCACCCCCCUCGCCCCCACAGAGCACAAAAACACCACCCUGUGAGGGCGAAAUGAUACAGAGUCAGAGAAACAGAAAGGGAAGCAGGAAGAGGUAAUGGAGGUGGGAGAGAGGGGGGUGGGAGUGCGAGUCAACGGGAGAGAAAGUCAGUAGUGACUUUUGUUGGGGUUUCUGUCGCCCAAAAGCUAUUGUUCCAGACCAGGAAGUGAGCCAAGUCUGGCUUUAGUCACUUUAUUAUUUCCUCCUUUGUGCAAGUUGGGCCACAAUCCCUCUGUUGGGCUGAAGGAGAGUCGGUAGCAAGGAGAAUGCCACCGUUUAAAGAAUGAAAUGGAAAAGACACACAUACACACACACAAAAGCCUGUGAUAUUCACAGACUCCACUUGUGCAUUCCCGUCUGCGCCUUCAAUGAAACCCAACCCGGCCAGAGAGUGUGUGUGUGUGUGUGUGUGUGUGUCUCGGAGGGAGAGAGAGGGGCCAGGAGGAAAAGUGGACGUGCUCAAAAAAGCAGGAGGAGGUGGUGGAGGAGGUGGAGGAGGGAGGGUGCUGUCUGUUUCUUCAGGGUGCCACCGGCUGCGGCCAGAAGGGGGAUACCAGGGAAUAUGGCAACCUGCAGCCACAUGCUACUUUGUGAUUAUCGUGUCAUCCAGUUGUAAUCUUCACAGUUGUGGCAUUCCUCCACC
ensembl:lncRNA